AACGAACGCUGGCGGCAUGCCUAACACAUGCAAGUCGAACGAGACCUUCGGGUCUAGUGGCGCACGGGUGCGUAACGCGUGGGAAUCUGCCCUUGGGUUCGGAAUAACAGUUGGAAACGACUGCUAAUACCGGAUGAUGACGUAAGUCCAAAGAUUUAUCGCCCAAGGAUGAGCCCGCGUAGGAUUAGCUAGUUGGUGAGGUAAAGGCUCACCAAGGCGACGAUCCUUAGCUGGUCUGAGAGGAUGAUCAGCCACACUGGGACUGAGACACGGCCCAGACUCCUACGGGAGGCAGGAGUGGGGUAUAUUGGACGAUGGGCGAAGGCCUGAUCCAGCAAUGCCGGGUGAGUGAUGAAGGGCUUAGGGUUGUAAAGCUGUUUUACCCGGGAUGAUAAUGACGGUACCGGGAGAAUAAGCUCCGGCUAACUCCGUG
rnacentral:rRNA from 1 species